rnacentral:tRNA from 1 species
GGGCCCGUGGCUCAUUGGUAGAGCACUCGACUGAUAAUCGAGGGGCAGUGAGUUCGAUUCUCACCGGGCCCA